rnacentral:tRNA from 1 species
GUUUAAUUGGGUGAGUAUGGUGUUUAUUUCGGCGGUAUUGGUGCAGCAAGAGAGCGAACUUCAUCUGCAACAACGGCAAAACCACGUCCAUGCUCCCCAGCUCUGGCUGCCUCAAUGGCAGCAUUAAGUG